rnacentral:rRNA from 1 species
UACGUAGGGUGCAAGCGUUAAUCGGAAUUACUGGGCGUAAAGCGCGCGUAGGCGGCUUUGCAAGUCGGGUGUGAAAUCCCCAGGCUUAACCUGGGAACUGCAUUCGAGACUGCAUUGCUAGAGUAUGGGAGAGGGAAGUGGAAUUUCCGGUGUAGCGGUGAAAUGCGUAGAUAUCGGGAGGAAUACCAGCGGCGAAGGCGGCCUUCUGGACUAUAACUGACGCUGAGGCGCGAAAGCUAGGGUAGCAAACGGG